rnacentral:rRNA from 1 species
UACGUAGGGGGCAAGCGUUAUCCGGAUUUACUGGGUGUAAAGGGAGCGCAGACGGCAGUGCAAGUCUGGAGUGAAAGCCCGGGGCUCAACUCCGGGACUGCUUUUGAAACUGUGUGACUGGAGUGCAGGAGAGGUAAGCGGAAUUCCUGGUGUAGCGGUGAAAUGCGUAGAUAUCAGGAGGAACACCGGUGGCGAAGGCGGCCUGCUGGACAGUAACUGACGUUGAGGCUCGAAAGCGUGGGGAGCAAACAGG